rnacentral:rRNA from 1 species
UACGAAGGGUGCAAGCGUUACUCGGAAUUACUGGGCGUAAAGCGUGCGUAGGUGGUUCGUUAAGUCUGAUGUGAAAGCCCUGGGCUCAACCUGGGAAUGGCAUUGGAAACUGGCAACCUAGAGUGCGGUAGAGGGUAGUGGAAUUCCCGGUGUAGCAGUGAAAUGCGUAGAGAUCGGGAGGAACAUCCGUGGCGAAGGCGACUACCUGGACCAGCACUGACACUGAGGCACGAAAGCGUGGGGAGCAAACAGG